CCCGCACGACCGGUCCCUAGCGAGCACUUCCUGAGUCCACGAUCUGAGUGCUGCACUGCCACAAUCCUCUGCCCCCUGCGGCCCUGCCCCGCCGCUCGCGGGACGCGUCGCCGAUCGCCGCACGCGCAGCCGAAGCCUCCACUCUCCGGAAGCGCAGCCGAAUCAGAUCUCCGCCUCCGCACCCCAUUCGUGCACUGCGCCCGCCUUGGUAAGGACCUCGGCCGCCUCGCCUAUUAGGUCGCGAGCCUCGUCUGCUCGCCCACGACUGGCCAGCGUUCCUCCGGGAGGUCGCCCGCCUCUCCCAGGAGCUUGACAGGUACAGUGCACCGACAUCGCCCAGUCCGAACCCCGGGCCGGCAUCGUCCCUGCACUCCACCGCCACCUCCGAGAUAGUGAUUUGCAAAUCACCUUGUUUCUUUGAUGAUCAGGUUAACAAUUUCCUUGUGCUAUUCAUGCAAUGGUCUAGGUUCUGAUGUUCGGAAAUAUCACUGUUGGGAUACCGGCAGGCCUUGGGCAGUAUACAGUAUACUGAAGUCCUGAAGUCAUGAGGGAAGCUCGGAAAGGGUUGAAGCUUCGGAACAUGAGGUUUUUCGACUCGGUGCGGUUGCUAUCCCAAGAUAGUUCCAAGAUGGCCAUCCUGCAUCUUAAUACCUAGGCUCAGGUCCAGCUAGGACUUAUGCUGGCUCAGUCCUAUUUGAAUUAUUGUAAACAAUUGUAAAUCAUGGCGGUUUUACAUUUUUUUAAGAUAAAGUAGUCUAUGAGCAUUCUGAAGCUAGAUAGAUUGAAAAGCUGGCUUAAUAUGGAGAAUUGUACUGUAUAUAGUUUGCUCAUUGCUUA